rnacentral:rRNA from 1 species
UACAGAGGGUGCAAACGUUGUUCGGAAUUACUGGGCGUAAAGCGCGUGUAGGCGGCUAAGCAAGUCGGGCGUGAAAUCCCAUGGCUCAACCAUGGAAGUGCACCCGAAACUGCAUAGCUAGAGUCCUGGAGAGGAAGGUGGAAUGCUUGGUGUAGAGGUGAAAUUCGUAGAUAUCAAGCGGAACACCGGUGGCGAAGGCGGCCUUCUGGACAGUGACUGACGCUGAGACGCGAAAGCGUGGGGAGCAAACAGG